CACCCUGUCUUUGGAAUCUCUCUCCCAGGUAAAUAAACAACAAGCAUUGAGUAUACACAACUCUGAAGAUAACAACAACAUGGGUGUGUUCCAUGGAGACUUGGACAGAUCAGCAGGAGUACAAGUUGCUAGUAGUGCUACUACAUCAAAGAGAAGACGAAACGACCUUAAUGACAAUGACUAUGAUGCAGCAGAAAGAUCCAGUGGAAGUCCUGGAAUUGAUGAUCAAGAGGACCUCCUCCACCUCAAUAGCAAAAGGCUUAGUUCAAUGUAGCCCCAGAUGUAUUUGGCAUUGAGGAAGAUUUGGAAGAGCCAGAGCAUAUAGUCAGUGUGGGAAACCUGAAUUAGUUCAACAAGCAAUAGAUAGUUGUUGCUAGAUGAACCUACCUGGACUUUGGUUUUUGGCAAGACCUCUCGAUAUUUUAGCUCCUGAAACCUAGUACAUUAGACUGCAGCCAUUGGACUUCUUUUGCACAACUAUCUUUGCUUGAAGACGAAAUGCGGAGGGUAGAAAGAGUAAAUGUGGAUUCUGUAGUUUACCUUGUUGACGCGUACGACAAAGAGAGAUUUGCAGAGGCCAAAAAGGAGCUGGAUGCCCUCAUCUCAGACGAUGCACUUGCAAAUGUCCCGUUUCUCAUACUUGGGAACAAGAUUGAC